GGGCGAUUAGCUCAGUUGGCUAGAGCACCAGCAUGACACGCUGGGGGUCGUAGGUUCAAGUCCUGCAUCGCCCA
rnacentral:tRNA from 1 species